GUCCCUUUCUUCUUGCUACAGCAGAAUGUACCAAGAGCAGCCAUGGUUAGGGUUUGGUUGAGCUUCCAAGCUUAAUAUAUUAUCAGGUUAACUCGGGGUUGGAGAUUGUCGGAGGCAGCAUCACACUAUCAAGCCAACACCUUGACAGUAUAAACACAUAUACCAGAAUUAUCAAGUGAGUGGCAUGUAUAGGGACCUAGUUUUAUAACAUGUGUUAUUAUAAUUUGGCCAAAUAUAUUGGUCUUUAGUGAGCUAAUGAUUCUGACUUAUAAAUCUAGCUAUUCAUGUUACGUCUAAUAUUGGUGAUGUGUAUAUGCUUGUUUGUCAUGCAUGGUUGGUAAUAUGUUAUGAGUUGUUGUAAGAAUGUCAUGCUUGUGUCUUGAUUGUGAAUAUAUAAUUACUCAAA